CAGCCGCCGCGGUAAAACGUAGGUGGCAAGCGUUGUCCGGAAUUAUUGGGCGUAAAGGGCUCGCAGGCGGUUUCUUAAGUCUGAUGUGAAAGCCCCCGGCUCAACCGGGGAGGGUCAUUGGAAACUGGGAAACUUGAGUGCAGAGGAGGAGAGUGGAAUUCCACGUGUAGCGGUGAAAUGCGUAGAGAUGUGGAGGAACACCAGUGGCGAAGGCGACUCUCUGGUCUGUAACUGACGCUGAGGAGCGAAAGCGUGGGGAGCGAACAAGAUUAGAUACCCCAGUAGUCCCUGUCUCUUAUAC
rnacentral:rRNA from 1 species